rnacentral:rRNA from 1 species
AGAUAUGAUCCAGAGUACCACGGGACACGUGAAACCCUGUGGGAAGCAGGAGGGACCACCCUCCAAGGCUAAAUACUACCUAGUGACCGAUAGCGUAUAGUACCGUGAGGGAAAGGUGAAAAGAACCCCGGGAGGGGAGUGAAAUAGAACCUGAAACCCUGCACUUACAAGCUGUGGAAGCACAUUUCUUGUGUGACCGCGUACUUUUUGUAGAACGGGCCAACGAGUUACGUUAAGUAGCAAGGUUAAGCACUUAAGGUGCGGAGCCGUAGCGAAAGCGAGUUUUAACUGAGCGUUCAGUUACUUGACGUAGACCCGAAACCGGGCGACCUACCCAUGAGCAGGAUGAAGCGAAAGUAAAAUUUCGUGGAGGUCCGAACCCACGAGCGUUGAAAAGCUCGGGGAUGACUUGUGGGUAGCGGUGAAAUUCCAAUCGAGCCCGGAGAUAGCUGGUUCUCCCCGAAAUAGCUUUAGGGCUAGCCUCAAGGUGAGAGAUACGGAGGUAGAGCACUGAAUGUCCUAGGGGGUAUUGCACCUACCGAAGACUAUCAAACUCCGAAUGCCGUCAUCUUAUACUUGGGAGUCAGACUGUGGGUGAUAAGAUUCAUAGUCGAAAGGGCAACAGCCCAGAUCGUCAGCUAAGGUCCCUAAAUGUAAGUUAAGUGGUAAAGGAUGUGGGAUUGCACAGACAACCAGGAUGUUGGCUUAGAAGCAGCCACUCAUUCAAAGAGUGCGUAAUAGCUCACUGGUCGAGUGAUCCUGCGCCGAAGAUUUCCGGGGCUAAAACUUACUACCGAAGCUACGGCAUCAGUAAUGAUGGGUAGGGGAGCUUCCCAUACGGGUUGAAGCAUGACCGUAAGGACAUGUGGACAGUAUGGGAGUGAGAAUGUUGGCAUGAGUAGCGAGAUGUGGGUGAGAAUCCCACAGGCCGUAAACCCAAGGUUUCCAGGGGAAGGUUCGUCCGCCCUGGGUUAGUCGGGACCUAAGCUGAGGCCGAAAGGCGUAGGUGAUGGACAACAGGUUGAUAUUCCUGUACUACCGAUAACCGUUUGAGAGAAGGGAUGACACAGUAGGAUAAGCUAAGCACACUGUUGGUUAUGUGUGCCCAAGCAUUGAGGCAGUCAAAGUAGGCAAAUCCGCUUUGAUAAUGCUGGGAUGUGAUGGGGAGCGAAAUUUAGUAGCGAAGUAGCUGAUUUCACACUGUCAAGAAAAGUCUCUAUCGAGGUUAAAGGUACCCGUACCGCAAACCGACACA